GCCGGGCGGGGUGGCACACACCUGUAAUCCUAGCCAUUCAGGAGGCUGAGGCAGGAGGAUUGCAAUUUCAAAGCCAGCCUCAGCAACUUAGCGAGGUCUUAAGCAAUUUAGCAAGACCCUGUCUCAA
rnacentral:sRNA from 1 species